GGGGAUGUAGCGCAGUGGUAGCGCGUUCGCUUUGCAUGUGAAAGGCCCGGGUUCAACCCCCGGCAUCUCCA
rnacentral:tRNA from 1 species